GACGUAGGGCGCGAGCGUUGUCCGGAUUUAUUGGGCGUAAAGAGCUCGUAGGCGGCUUGUCGCGUCGACUGUGAAAUCCCGCGGCUCAACUGCGGGUCUGCAGUCGAUACGGGCAGGCUAGAGUUCGGUAGGGGAGACUGGAAUUCAUGGUGUAGCAGUGAAAUGCGUAGAGAUCAUGAGGAAGACCAGUGGCGAAGGCGGGUCUCUGGGCCGAUACUGACGCUGAGACGCGAAAGCGUGGGGAGCGAACAGG
rnacentral:rRNA from 1 species